rnacentral:rRNA from 1 species
UGGGGAAUAUUGGACAAUGGGCGCAAGCCUGAUCCAGCAAUGCCGCGUGUGUGAAGAAGGCCUUCGGGUUGUAAAGCACUUUUAUCAGGAGCGAAACGCUGUCGGCUAAUACCCGGCGGAACUGACGGUACCUGAGGAAUAAGCACCGGCUAACUUCGUGCCAGCAGCCGCGGUAAUACGAAGGGUGCAAGCGUUAAUCGGAAUUACUGGGCGUAAAGCGUGCGUAGGCGGUUUCUUAAGUCUGCUGUGAAAUCCCCGGGCUCAACCUGGGAAUGGCAGUGGAUACUGGGAGGCUAGAGUGUGUCAGAGGGUGGUGGAAUUCCCGGUGUAGCGGUGAAUGCGUAGAGAUCGGGAGGAACAUCAGUGGCGAAGGCGGCCACCUGGGACAACACUGACGCUGAGGCACGAAAGCGUGGGGAGCAAACAGGAUUAGAUACCCUGGUAGUCCACGCCCUAAAGCGAUGCGACUGGAUGUUGGUCUCAACUCGGAGAUCAGUGUCGAAGCUAACGCGUUAAGUUCGCCGCCU